UACGUAGGGGGCUAGCGUUGUCCGGAAUCAUUGGGCGUAAAGAGCGUGUAGGCGGCCCGGUAAGUCCGCUGUGAAAGUCGGGGGCUCAACCCUCGAAUGCCGGUGGAUACUGUCGGGCUAGAGUGCGGAAGAGGCGAGUGGAAUUCCUGGUGUAGCGGUGAAAUGCGCAGAGUAUCAGGAGGAACACCGGUGGCGAAGGCGGGACUCUGGGCCGAUACUGACGCUGGAGGAGCGGAAAGCGUGGGGAGCAAACAGG
rnacentral:rRNA from 1 species